UCAACAAACAUCAAAUUUCUGAAUUGAAGAUACUUUUUAAUUUAAUUUUUUUUUUUUUUGAGACAAGUUCUUGCUUUGUGUUUAGGCUGGCCCUGAACUCACUUUGUAGCCUGGGCUGGCCUCAAACUUAUGGUGAUCUUCCUGCCUCUGCCUCCCAAGUGCUGGGAUCACAGGCAUGUGCCACCAUGCCUAGCCCUGAAUUGAAGAUACUUUUGCUAUAUUGAACAUACUUCUACAGAACCUAACUCAUGAAAUUCAACUUCACGUUCAAGGUGAGGAAACCGAGGUGCAAAGAGAUUAAGUCACCUGCCCACAGGUGUACAGUGAGCAGCUGGCCACCUUCCCUUGCAGGGGUUGUUUUUGCUGUAACUCCACUGUGGACUGAUUUGAAGGGUCUGUGCCAGAUACCCUGUGCUGUUCCACCCUGACAAAGGGAUAUCCCGGAAAGAGGCUGCAGUGCUGCAGCUGUCCACUUUUGAGUGGUGAUGCCAUAUAGGUAUACCCCAUGAAGUCACAGGUGCAUCCUGGAAGACAGAAGGUAAGAUGGCUGCUUCAUGUAACUUACAUGUGCUGUCUAGACCUGCUCAGGCUGGAUCAUGUAUACACACUUCCAUUUAAUGAUAGAUUAUUACUGUGCACAUCCAACUGUAUGAUUUGGUGGGUCAGUCAGCACCCAAUUCAUGAUGGGCAGCUCAGGUCCUGUGGUAACUUCGUAUCCCAUAGUCAAGCAUUCAGUUUCCAUGAAGGCCCAAUAGCAGGCCAGGAGAUGCUUUUCAUGUCUGCAGAUGAUGGCAGAGCCCUGCUCCAAACUCCGAACAGCCUUCGCUGUGAUUCACCUAUGGCGGCCUGCCAGAGGCUCCAAAGAGCAUCCCUACCUCCACUGACAACGUCAAGUACCAUUGGAUCUGCUGGAUCAUAUGGCUCUGUGGCAGAGCAGCCUGCACAGCAGCCUGGACCUGUUGUAGAGCCUUCUCUUGUUCAGGCCCUACUCAAAAUACCAGCUUUUUGAGUCACUUAGUAAAUGGGCUAUAGUAACAGCUUUUCACAUUUUCUAUAGUAAACAUCAAUUUUAGAGUUAGAAAGUUAAAAUAUGAGUUAAACAAUGAUGAAUGGGCAGCGGGUUUAGCUCAGUGGUUCCAGCACCUGCCUCACAAGUACAAGGUCCCGAGUUCGAUCCCCAGUACCAAAAAACAAAAACAAAAACAAUGAUGAACAUUCCCUUCUUCAAACAAAAAAAUUAAGUUGUCUGGAAUGCUUAAAAAUGAGACAAUUGGGCCGGGGAUUUAGCUCAGUGGUUCCAUUGCUUGCCUCGCAAGAGCAAGGACCCGGGUUCAAUCCCUGGUACCAAAAAAUAAAAAAAGAGACACAAUUAACACAAUAGUAACCACAUGCCUAACUUAGAAUCUCGGUAAGAAAUGUAUCUAGGUAGAGAAGACAGCCAACUAUUCAAGUGACCAAAUAGCCUCAAACACAAUGCAGCCUCACCAGCUAGGACUGUGUUUAGAAAUGCACUAUAUUUAUCAAGUGGCUUAAUGGCAUAAAGGUUCGGGUCAGUACCAAGGGUUUCACAAAAGUCUCUUCUGUGUGAGCAGACAUUCUGAAACAUUUUGAUGUGUGAAUAUAGGAGCCAUGAAGCCAAGGUGAAAUGUCAUUUACCAAGUUACUUUGUCAAAGUUACUCUUUGACAAAAAUUUAAUCCCCUCCAUCCCAAAAGAGCAAACUACCAUUGUGCUGAAGAGUUUCUGUUGAGCAAAACCUUGACUGACACAAGAAAUAUAUUUAGGAGUGGGCAGUCAUAUGACUUUAGAAGAAUAGAAUCUCAUCUUGGUAUGUCACCAUCCUAUUUUUACCACUCACAAAAUAUUUGAGUUUCUGAGUUUUGCCCUUCUCCAAAUGUCUAGAUGGUUUCCACAGUCCCUUCCAUCUCGGUAAGGGAUGAUUCUACAUCAUGGGCGGGGGCUGGGAAUGCAGUCACUGGUAGUGCUUACCUAGCAUGGGUGAGGCCUUCGGUCAAGUCUCAGAGACUGUGUCUGUCUCUCUCUCUGUCUCUGUCUGUCUCUCUCUCUCUCUCAAAUAAAUCACAGGCAGGAAUCACUAUUGUCCUAGAGGACCAUUGAGGAAGUUUCUCAAGAUGCUCCUCUUUUAUCCCAGAGACAGGAAGGAACAAUUUAUAGAUGGAAACAAAGUGGUUCUCCAGAAAAGGUAGCUAUGAAGAGGUCUACACAUUUCCUCUAGCUGUUUAUAAGACACCACACAUCAUUACAGUACUCAAUGAGUGGCUGCUUCCCAAGAAAAACCACAGAAAGGAAGUAUCAUUAAAAAAGAGUAUAUACAUUGGGGGAAGCUCUUCUCUCCCAUAAACCCGACCUAGCCAAGACUGUUGUCCUCUAUUGUUGAACAGGAUGUAACAAGAUUGCCAAGCACAGCCCACAAACCUGCUAAUUAGGUGCUCUGACAGUUUGUUUUGGAACCAUUUACCAACAAAGGAAUGUGACAGGCUGAUUAGUGAGAAAAGGGUAUGUAAUGAAUGUGUAUUUGAGUCCAGAUGAGGGCAUAAUCCAGGUAUUCAGUCUGUUUGUGCAAGGACUCACAAAAAUGGAGGCUGAACAAAUAGGAAGCCACAGUGAAAGACUAGCUUCUGGGUAGUGCUGCUCUUUCCCUUGCCUCUUAAAGUUUUGUUCCACUAGCAUCCCCUCAACCCUGGUGAGUUUUGCCCAAACACCUAACAAGAAACUCUUUCAAAAAGUGACAAAGUACAGCUGGCUCCUCAGAAAAAUGGAAGAGCAUUUGUAAGGAUGUUGGCAAAUCUAGGGUUUUAUAGUUUUUCAGGUACAUAAAUUAAGUGACAACUUUAGGCCAAACCAUCUCCACACUCAGCCUCCAUGGAGCUAUGCACUGUACUAACAUGCACAAAUCAAAGGGAAAUGGCAACAUAAAACAUAGCUCUUAAUGUACUAUUCAAGCUUUGCUGAAAAAAAUUAUGUAUUAGCUUCUUCUUUGGGAAGAAGCAAUUCAACAAUUUAAUAAACAAGUUCUUUCUUUUUAGACAAACUUUGUAAAAUCUGGCUACAAUCAGGUGUUUGGGUAUUUAGGUUCCUUUGUAUACAAGGAACCUAAAGAAGGACAGAAAGUGCCAAGACAAAGGACAACGUCCAGGCCCCAGUAAGUUCAGGUGCUGGGGAAAGGGCAGUAUGAGUUGUAGGGAAAUGUGGAAUUAAAAAGACCAAAUCAAAAGGUGAAGUGUGUGGGGAGGGGUCUCCAUGUUCUUUUGCUCAAACUGGGCAUUUCUGGAGUAUGGAUGGAUGGAUGGAAGCAAGGAGGCUUGGACUAAAUUCCUUGGGAGACCUUUUCUGUAUACCAACAAAGUAGAUUUUCAACAUGAAAAAGAGGAUGAACUCUGUUAGAAACGUACCUGCAAUGGACUUUUCCAUGAGGUUAGUGUUAAUUUUCAAGAGUGAUGUGGGAAAUAUUUUUCAGGUAUGUGCACAUUGGAUAUGGCGACAGAGUAGGUGAACUCAACUAGUAAGAGUGUGGCAUUAAUAAAUUCAAGGUCCAGGGCCGGGGAUUUAGCUCAGUGGUUUUGCUGCCUGCUACACAAGCACAAAGACCUGAGUUUGAUUCCCAGUACCAAAAAAUAAAAAAAAUAAAAUAAGCUUAAGGUCCUGCAUGCCCUUACUUAUUUCUUGGAGGGGGACAGGAAAGGACCAAUUAUUUGUACACAUAGAAAAACUGUAGUUUUGAACCUUGGAAUAUAAAAAAAUGAACUCUUUUAGAAGAGUUACCAAUAAGCUGCAGAUCCCCUCCAAUACACAGCAGAAACCCUACUUCUCAUGCCAAUGAAUGCUGCUGACUAGGGGAGGCUGAUGCUUCUGCCCAGAGAAGUAUUUGAAAUGGUAGGUCACUUGCUUCAGCCUUACAUAAAAAGCUGUGGUAUUACCUCAGACUUUCACUAUGCUCCUCUUUUUUUGGAAGCAUUUUAAAUUCCCUUAACUAAUUAGUUUAGUUAAAAGCUUUUUCAGUGUUCUCAUGAAUGUACACACACCUGGGGAAGCUGAACCAAAUAUUAAUUAGCAAUAAUUGUGCCAUGGAUAAACCUCAUUGGUUAUACUGCCACUGCACAAAGCUGAACCAAAUAUUAAAUAUUUAUGGAACGCCCACUACGUGAAGAACACCAAACUCAGUGUUGUGUAUUCUUCUAAUAGAAUAUCCACAUCUGAAUACAGCCCCAAAGGGUAUGGGGGGGUCAUAAGGUCUUCAAGUGCAGUAUACUCCAUAUUGGAAAACCCAUGGGGAUGACUUGCAUGUCACAUGAAACAAUUAACAAAGCCAAGUGGGUCAGGACGAAAGCAUGGGACUGAUUUAUGAUGGCUGGUUGAUUUCAUAAGUCUCGUGUUAAGAUGCAUGCGGAGUGUUUUUAAGAUGAAGUGUUUGUGUGUUAGUGAUGCAUUUCAAGAUUCAGGAAUGGCAACUUCACAGAAAGUUCAAAGCAAGAUGGACUUCUUAGCAGCAUUAGGUAGGUGUCCUUAGUGAUAUGUAGAGAUGUCAGAAAGAAAGCUGCAUAGGAGGCAAUUUAAGGAUUAAAAACAAACAAACAAAACAAAACAAAACAAAAUUACGCCCUUGGUCACUCUGAGGCUUUAGAUGACUGCUUCCUUUGCUUGUAUACUCAUUGUUUUGCCUUACAUCUUAGUGCCGCAUCAGCCUAAUCUUCUGAUUUGUAAUUCUCAAAAAAUUAGAGCCCUUACGUCUUAUUCUCAAGGAGUGGAUGUGUUGUUAUUUCUAUUUCUUUAGGAUGUGGGAUUUUGUCAUUGUUUUAACUGAAUGCUUAUCUCUCCUAAAGCUGGGCUUUCCUUGUAGUCCUCUAGGAGGUAAAUGCUGGAUUAGGCUUAAGGAAAGCAGUCUUAUGAUUCCGGAUCUUCCUACUGUAUUUAAAGUCUUUCAAUUUGGAUUGGAAGGUUUUCUUAUUUAGGUUAAAGACAAGUAGGUACUUAAUUUGUGUUUGAGAAAAAAGAUUCAAUAAACUCAAGGCGAAUCUGUCAGCAUUGUCUCCGGGAUAGAAGGGUGACUGG